CCCUUCGGGGGCGAGUACAGCGGCGGACGGGUGAGUAACACGUGAGCGAUCCACCUCGAGGCGGGGGACAACCCAGGGAAACCUGGGCUAAUACCGCAUACAGCGGCAGGCAUGGAAGCUUGUCGUGAAAGCUGGCCUCUCCAUGGAAGCUAGCGCCUCUGGACGAGCUCGCGGCCUAUCAGCUGGUUGGUGAGGUAACGGCUCACCAAGGCGAUGACGGGUAGCUGGCGUGAGAGCGCGAUCAGCCACACUGGGACUGAGACACGGCCCAGACUCCUACGGGAGGCAGCAGUGGGGAAUCUUGCGCAAUGGGCGAAAGCCUGACGCAGCGACGCCGCGUGGGGGAGGAAGGCCCUAGGGUUGUAAACCCCUGUCAGGUGGGACGAACCGGGGAUCGGCGAAAGCCGGUUCCUCUGACGGUACCACCAGAGGAAGCUCCGGCUAACUCCGUGCCAGCAGCCGCGGUAAAACGGAGGGAGCAAGCGUUGUUCGGAAUUACUGGGCGUAAAGGGCGCGUAGGCGGCCCUGUAAGUCGCAUGUGAAAGGCCGGGGCUCAACCCCGAGUAUUGCAUGCGAUACUGCAAGGCUAGAGACAGGUAGGGGCGAGCGGAAUUCCCGGUGUAGCGGUGGAAUGCGUAGAUAUCGGGAAGAACACCGGUGGCGAAGGCGGCUCGCUGGGCCUGUUCUGACGCUGAAGCGCGAAAGCGUGGGGAGCGAACAGGAUUAGAUACCCUG
rnacentral:rRNA from 1 species